UACGGAGGAUGCAAGCGUUAUCCGGAUUUAUUGGGUUUAAAGGGUGCGCAGGUUGUUUGAUAAGUCAGUGGUGAAAGUCUGUCGCUUAACGGUAGGAUUGCCAUUGAUACUGUUGGACUUGAAUAUGGAUGAGGUAGGCGGAAUGUGUAGUGUAGCGGUGAAAUGCAUAGAUAUUACACAGAACACCGAUUGUGAAGGCAGCUUACUAAUCCAUCAUUGACGCUGAGGCACGAAAGCGUGGGGAGCAAACA
rnacentral:rRNA from 1 species